ACUUAUCGCGUUAGCUGCGCCACUAAAGCCUCAAAGGCCCCAACGGCUAGUAGACAUCGUUUACGGCAUGGACUACCAGGGUAUCUAAUCCUGUUUGCUCCCCAUGCUUUCGUACCUCAGCGUCAGUAUUAGGCCAGAUGGCUGCCUUCGCCAUCGGUAUUCCUCCAGAUCUCUACGCAUUUCACCGCUACACCUGGAAUUCUACCAUCCUCUCCCAUACUCUAGCUUUCCAGUAUCGAAUGCAAUUCCUAAGUUAAGCUCAGGGAUUUCACAUCCGACUUAAAAAGCCGCCUACGCACGCUUUACGCCCAGUAAAUCCGAUUAACGCUCGCACCCUCUGUAUUACCGCGGCUGCUGGCACAGAGUUAGCCGGUGCUUAUUCUGCGAGUAACGUCCACUCACUUUAGGUAUUAACUAAAGGAGCCUCCUCCUCGCUUAAAGUGCUUUACAACCAAAAGGCCUUCUUCACACACGCGGCAUGGCUGGAUCAGGCUUGCGCCCAUUGUCCAAUAUUCCCCACUGCUGCCUCCCGUAGGAGUCUGGGCCGUGUCUCAGUCCCAGUGUGGCGGAUCAUCCUCUCAGACCCGCUACAGAUCGUCGCCUUGGUAGGCCUUUACCCCACCAACUAGCUAAUCCGACUUAGGCUCAUCUAUUAGCGCAAGGUCCGAAGAUCCCCUGCUUUCCCCCGUAGGGCGUAUGCGGUAUUAGCAUUCCUUUCGGAAUGUUGUCCCCCACUAAUAGGCAGAUUCCUAAGCAUUACUCACCCGUCCGCCGCUAGGUCAGUUACCGAAGCAACCUCCCCCGCUCGACUU
rnacentral:rRNA from 1 species